GAUGAACGCUGGCGGCGUGCUUAACACAUGCAAGUCGAGCGAGAAGUUUUGAAAAGAUUCUUCUGAGGAAAUUUAAAAUGGAAAGCGGCGGACGGGUGAGUAACGCGUAGGCAACCUGCCCCAUACAAAGGGAUAGCAUUUGGAAACGAAUAUUAAUACCUUAUGAAACUUAACUAGUGCAUGCUAGGUAGGUCAAAGAUUUAUCGGUAUGGGAUGGGCCUGCGUCUGAUUAGCUAGUUGGUGAGGUAACGGCUCACCAAGGCGACGAUCAGUAGCCGACCUGAGAGGGUGAACGGCCACAUUGGAACUGAGACACGGUCCAAACUCCUACGGGAGGCAGCAGUGGGGAAUAUUGCACAAUGGGGGAAACCCUGAUGCAGCAACGCCGCGUGAACGAUGAAGGCCUUUGGGUCGUAAAGUUCUGUUAUAGGCGAUGAAAACUGACAGUAACCUAGGAGAAAGCCCCGGCUAACUCCGUG
rnacentral:rRNA from 1 species